GUCACCUUGGGGAACAAUGGGUCAGUGCUUCUGGCUGUUAACCAGAAGGAUGCUGGUUCAAGCCCGCCCAGGGACA